rnacentral:lncRNA from 1 species
GCAGGAUAUUUGUCUACUUGUCUGUCUUGUAGUGACUAUUAAUAUAUUGGCUGUUAUGUUUUUCAAUUCCUUUAUUGUUAUUCGUGACAGUGCAUCUGCCACGAAAUUGUCUUUACCCUUUAGAUACUCGACUGUAAAGUCGUAUUCUUCUAAUUCAAGCCGCAUGCGUGUGCGUUUUGAGCUACGAUUGACCAUUGACAAUAGGUAUGUUAGUGGUCUGUGAUCCGUUUUCACUGUGAAGUGUUUUCCAUAAAUAUAUGGUCGAAAAUGAGUAAUUGCCCAAUGAAUUGCUGCCAAUUCCUGUUCGGUUGUGCUUUUGUUGCUUUCACC